rnacentral:tRNA from 1 species
CCCCUUGUGGCUCAGAUGGUAAAGCGUCUGUCUACAAUGCAGGAGACCCAGGUUCCAUCCCUGGGUCGGGAA